GAUUUAAGUGAGAAUCUUAAAGGCCGAAUAUCUAAGGUUUCCAGGGUAAAGCUGAUCUUCCCUGGGUAAGUCGGGGCCUAAGGCGAGGGCGAGAGCCGUAGUCGAUGGAUAACAGGUUGAAAUUCCUGUACUGCUUAUGGACAGAACUGUGGGACGCAGAAGGAGAGCACGAGCCGGAAAUGGAAAAGCCGGUACAAGCGUAUAGCAGUCAUGCAGGCAAAACCGCAUGAAAAAUGUAAAGCGUUAUGUGGAUCGAACAUUAGUAGAGAAGCGUGUGAGCCAGCUGCCAAGAAAAGCCGCUAUUGCUUCAUAAGUACCCGUACCGUAAACCGACACAGGUGGAUGAGGAGAGAAUCCUAAGGCCGGCGGGAGAAGUGUUGUUAAGGAACUCGGCAAAAUGACUCCGUAACUUCGGGAGAAGGAGUGCCACAGAGAUGUGGCCGCAGAGAAAUGGCCCAAGCAACUGUUUAGCAAAAACACAGGUCUAUGCAAAACCGAAAGGUGAGGUAUAUGGGCUGACGCCUGCCCGGUGCUGGAAGGUUAAGAGGAGAGGUUAGAGCAAUCGAAGCUUUGAAUUUAAGCCCCAGUAAACGGCGGCCGUAACCAUAACGGUCCUAGGGUAGCGAAAUUCCUUGUCGGGUAAGUUCCGACCCGCACGAAAGGCGUAAUGAUUUGGGCACUGUCUCAACAACACACCCGGUGAAAUUGAAAUACCAGUGAAGAUGCUGGUUACCUGCGCCAGGACGGAAAGACCCCAUGGAGCUUUACUCCAGUUUGAUACUGGGAUUCGGUACUGUCUGUACAGGAUAGGUGGGAGGCUAGGAAAUGGUGACGCCAGUUGCCAUGGAACCAACCUUGGGAUACCACCCUUACAGUACUGGGUUUCUAACCUGCAGCCGUGACCCGGCUGGGGGACAAUGUCUGACGGGGAGUUUGACUGGGGCGGUCGCCUCCGAAAGAGUAUCGGAGGCGCUCAAAGGUUCCCUCAGAACGGUUGGAAACCGUUCGAAGAGUGCAAAGGCAGAAGGGAGCUUGACUGCGACACCGACGGGUGGAGCAGAUACGAAAGUAGGACUUAGUGAUCCGGUGGUAUAAAGUGGGAUUGCCAUCGCUCAACGGAUAAAAGCUACCCUGGGAUAACAGGCUUAUCACUCCCAAGAGUUCACAUCGACGGAGUGGUUUGGCACCUCGAUGUUGGCUCAUCGCAUCCUGGAGCUGUAGCAGGUUCCAAGGGUUGGGCUGUUCGCCCAUUAAAGCGGUACGCGAGCUGGGUUCAGAACGUCGUGAGACAGUUCGGUCCCUAUCCGGCGUGGGCGUAGGAUAUUUGAGAGGAGCUGUCCUUAGUACGAGAGGACCGGGAUGGACAAACCUCUGGUGUAUCUGUUGUUUUACCAAAGGCAUGGCAGAGUAGCCAAGUUUGGCAGGGAUAAACGCUGAAGGCAUCUAAGCGUGAAGCCCCCCUCAAGAUAAGAUAUCCCAUCUUCGGAGUAAGACCCCUUGAAGACUACAAGGUUGAUAGGCUUCAGGUGUAAGUGUGGUAACGCACUCAGCUGAGAAGUACUAAUAGGUCGAGGACUUACC
rnacentral:rRNA from 1 species